rnacentral:rRNA from 1 species
CGGCGGACGGGUGAGUAACACGUGGAUAACCUACCUAUAAGACUGGGAUAACUUCGGGAAACCGGAGCUAAUACCGGAUAAUAUAUUUAACCGCAUGGUUCAAUAGUGAAAGACGGUUUUGCUGUCACUUAUAGAUGGAUCCGCGCUGCAUUAGCUAGUUGGUAAGGUAACGGCUUACCAAGGCAACGAUGCGUAGCCGACCUUAGAGGGUGAUCGGCCACACUGGAACUGAGACACGGUCCAGACUCCUACGGGAGGCAGCAGCC